CAGGUUGUAGCUAAAAAGAAAAGCAUCUCAUUUACACCGAGAAGAUACCCGUGCAAUUCGAGUCACCCUGA
rnacentral:tRNA from 1 species